rnacentral:rRNA from 1 species
UACGGAGGGUGCAAGCGUUAUCCGGAAUCACUGGGUUUAAAGGGUGCGUAGGCGGCUAUGUAAGUCAGUUGUGAAAUACCUCGGCUUAACCGAAGGAAGUGCGAUUGAUACUGCGUAGCUUGAAUCAGGUUGAGGUAGGCGGAAUGUGACAUGUAGCGGUGAAAUGCUUAGAUAUGACAUAGAACACCAAUUGCGAAGGCAGCUUGCUACACAGUUAUUGACGCUGAGGCACGAAAGCGUGGGGAUCAAACAGG